UACGAAGGGGGCUAGCGUUGCUCGGAAUCACUGGGCGUAAAGGGUGCGUAGGCGGGUCUUUAAGUCAGGGGUGAAAUCCUGGAGCUCAACUCCAGAACUGCCUUAGAUACUGAGGAUCUUGAGUACGGGAGAGGUGAGUGGAACUGCGAGUGUAGAGGUGAAAUUCGUAGAUAUUCGCAAGAACACCAGUGGCGAAGGCGGCUCACUGGCCCGUAACUGACGCUGAGGCACGAAAGCGUGGGGAGCAAACAGG
rnacentral:rRNA from 1 species